UUAUUUGGAUAGGGUUUAGCACUAAUUCGUCCUCUGUUGUAUUUGGUGGUAAACCUCUUCCAAAUAUAUUGUUUUUGUUACUCUUUUUUUUAAAAAAAGGAGCAAGAUGAUAUAUAUUUAAAACCCAACUCUUAUAUAUAAAAUAUGUAUAUUUUUGAAUAAUAAAAUUAAAGA
rnacentral:misc_RNA from 1 species